UUAUUGUAGUACUACAUGCUUUGAAUGUCAAUUUCAAUUUGUUAUUUUCAAUCACGUUAAUAAUUUUUAUUCAUUUUUUAGGAAGAACUAAAAAGAUAUAAUAAUGAGGCUGGUGAAGUAACAUUGUCAAUUAUAAGGAAGGGGAGUUUGAAUUAUAAUUGCCCCUUUUAAAAAUUUCUAUUUAAAAAUUGAAAAUUUUAACUCAAGAUUGAUCUUGGUUAUAAACGAAUAACAUUAUUGGUUAGUGGAAAAACAACAAUAUCAAUUUAUCAAUAUAAAAACUGAAUAUAAGACAAAUAAUAAUAGAAAUAGGGAUAAAGAGAUCACACAAGCAUAUAUCAUGGUUCAUCCAACACUUGUUACGUCUA
rnacentral:lncRNA from 1 species